rnacentral:rRNA from 1 species
GACGAACGCUGGCGGCGUGCUUAACACAUGCAAGUCGAACGGAAAGGCCCUGCUUUUGUGGGGUGCUCGAGUGGCGAACGGGUGAGUAACACGUGAGUAACCUGCCCUUGACUUUGGGAUAACUUCAGGAAACUGGGGCUAAUACCGGAUAGGAGCUCCUGCUGCAUGGUGGGGGUUGGAAAGUUUCGGCGGUUGGGGAUGGACUCGCGGCUUAUCAGCUUGUUGGUGGGGUAGUGGCUUACCAAGGCUUUGACGGGUAGCCGGCCUGAGAGGGUGACCGGCCACAUUGGGACUGCGAUACGGCCCAGACUCCUACGGGAGGCAGCAGUGGGGAAUAUUGCACAAUGGGCGGAAGCCUGAUGCAGAGACGCCGCGUGCGGGAUGACGGCCUUCGGGUUGUAAACCGCUUUCGCCUGUGACGAAGCGUGAGUGACGGUAAUGGGUAAAGAAGCACCGGCUAACUACGUG